UAUAUAGUUUAUUUCUUCCUGAGUUGA
rnacentral:piRNA from 1 species